rnacentral:lncRNA from 1 species
CAUAUAUAUAUAAAUAUCAGAGGCCCCGAAGGGGUUGCCGGCGCGGCCCCUCAAGCUCAGGCCGCAGUCUCCGCCCCGCGGCCCCACACUCACGUCACCCAGGUGGAGGGCGUUGACCUGGGCCUGGACCAAGGGCGGCUGCGGGGACCCAGGCUGUGCGUGCGCUUCCCUCUCCGGCGCCUGGCGGGGAGGUGCGGCGCGAACCCGGCGGGCGCGGCCGUCAGCAGCGGGAAGCGGCCUCCCCAGGGCGGCCACGGCCCCACUCGCGGCCCCACACGCGGCCCCACACGGGCCGUCGCUCCCCACCGCGCGCCAGGGCGGCCCGGCCCCCUGCGUCUCCCGGCGGGCCUUGCGGCGGCGGCCUCCGCGCGAGGGGCCCCGAGGCCGCCUGGGCCCCGGAAGGCCGCGCGGACGCGCCCGGAAGCCGGAAGCCGGAAGCCCGCGCCGGACCCGGAGCCGCGUGCGCGGUGGGCGGCGACGGCAGAAGCUUCGGGAAGGCGCCCGCGGAGGCGCAGAGGCUCUCCGGGGAGGCCCCACUACCCCGACGGGUCGCCGAAGCCGGCGCGGGACACGCAGUCGUCCCCUGAGGGGACUGCAGGGGAGAGGCCUGAAGACCUGUGGAAAAAGCAAGCAGGUUUUUCAUAGACUCAUUUAGAGUUAAUACGAAGUCAACAAGACAAUAACAGAAAUCUUUGAAACUACUACCACAAGGACGACCACAUUGGACUAUGAACCAUCAGGACCUUCCAAACCGGCAUUGGUGUUGCACAGCCAGUACCAGCCAAUCCAGCGGAGAGGAAGAAGGUUAUCUGGAAGAAAUUGGAUUCUUUGAAGUUCA